rnacentral:tRNA from 1 species
GCUGUGAGGGUCCAGUGGUUAAGGGAUUGGACUUGAAAUCCAAUAGGGUUUCCCCACACAGAUUCAAAUCCUGCUCACAGUG